rnacentral:lncRNA from 1 species
UUUUUCUUAAGUGAACAAAAUAUAUUCGGAUCAGUAGGUUGCGGUUAUCUGGCCAUUAUUUUUCGCAACAAUCAAACUGAUCCCAUCGCUGCCUGCCUACAACAAAGAUGUGAGGACCCAAUUUCUUCUAAAUUACCUGGCUGCCUUACUAUGGUUCCUGAAAACCUCACUUCCUAUACAACAGCCUCGAGGCCCAUUAUAGAUAUCAUAAGUCCCGGGGAAAAAGAAUCCAGCAAGAGAUGCACAUCUACUUUUAUUGGUGACUCUACCGUGUUUUCAGAAAUAAGCAUUGAUAUGACGCAUGUUCCAGCAACGCUGGAGUGGAAUCCGGUCAAAUGCGAUUUGGAAGGUGACCAUUUACUAUCAUCACGUUACUUUUGAUUUCUUAUUUUAUUAAUUUAAGUAUACAGCUUUUCUUUUUCUUUUUUUUUUCAAUCUCAUCAUGUUUAUUUUAACAUCUCUCCCUAAAUUAUUAUAUUUUUGUCGGGUUUCAAUUUAGGGUUUAAAGUUUAGAAAAUUUAAUACUUUAAUUCAUUUUUAGUUGAGGAAAUUUAAAAUUUUCUAUUAUUAUUGUGUAUUUUUAUUGGUCAACUUUCACUUUCCAAAUAAUUUAUUAGAUUUUUAUUUUUAUUUUUGAUAAUAAUUUAGUAAAAAAAUUAUUAGUAUCAAUAAGUGGUUAGCUGUAAUGGUAAGGCAUAGAAUGUCUCAAAUUUUGGAGACAAUAUUGUUGGGAGAGAUAGUCACAAACCCCGAACAAAAUGAACAAAAUGGAUAUGCAUAAUACCAAAAAGAAAUUGUUUAUUAGUAAAUAAAAUAAAACACAAAUAAUAUUAUUACUAAUUAUAUAAUAAUUGCACAAUAAACAAAUUUUAAAUAAGUCAUAAAUGAUUUUCUUUUAAGAAUAUAUAAGUGAAUUUAAUAACUUUAUUCGAGUUGAUUUUCAUUAAUAAAUUAGCCUCAAAAUGACAAUGUCUAUAGAAAUAUGUUAGAUUGCACGGAUUUCGUAAAUACUACACUAUGCCAAGCAUGCUCAUAUGGAUAUAAUGCUUAUUAUUAACUAAUAAAUUGAUGUAUGUAUAGGUGCUUCUGUUUAAUUGAUUGGUUGGUGCUUUAUUUGUUCUUCUAUGCAGCCUCAUUAUGCUCAAUAGUAAGACCACAUUAUGUAUUACCUUACAAAACAAGCUGUAAUGAAAGGUGUGGGAAUGUUGAUAUUCCAUUUCCAUUUGGGAUUAAAGUGGGCUGCUACAAGAGUGAAUGGUUCAGAGUAACUUGCAACAAAACUGCUGACGGUGAGAAGCCUUUCAUAAGUAGCAUCAAUAUGCAACUUCUUAAUAUUUCUUUUUACGAAGGCACAGUUCUCGUCAAAAAUUCAGUAAUUUAUUCCUACUGCCCUGGCAAAGAUUUAGAAAACAAUGAGGGUAGUGUUAACCUAACAGGCACCCCGUUUUUCUUCUCACAUAUCUUCGACAGAUUCAUGUCUAUAGGUUGCGGCGAUUUGGCUACUUUUCUUGAUAGUCCGACUAAUGAUCAUCGUAUUGGUGGCUGCAAGCUACCUCCUUGAGAAAAUAAUAUGGCUUCCAUUGGUAGAUGCGCUGUCAAUAUUCCGUCGGGUCUUAGUUCUUUUGUCACAAAUAUCAGACGGAUUUAUCCUAAUAAUGGCAGCAAGAGAUCAUGCAUUUCAGUUUUUAUUGUUGACACACGUUUUCUUGAUUCCCUUGAGGUAAAUUCUGACCACAAUGCCACAACAACCAAUCGUAGAGGGUCGUAUGUUCCCACAACACUGCAAUGGGGUAUACCAAAACGUGGGAUCUGUGAGUUGGGAGAAGAGUCUGGCACCCUUUGUAGCCCCGAUGGCCGAUAUUGUUGGACAAGCUUGAGCCAAAUGCAUCUAUAUGUUUGUACCCCGGAUACCUAUAAUGACUAUGAUUAUCUUUCCACUGAUGUAUGCCAAGGUAUCAUAUUAGUACAAUGUCUUAGGCUUCAUUCGGAUAGGCACCAUCACAUGGCUUUGCUACUUUAUGAAGCAUUACUAUCUUAUAAAAUAUUUUGUUUUAGAGUGAAAUUUUGCACAAAAUAAAGGAAAAUGAAACUUGAUAUCCAUAUUAUAAAUGUCCAUUUGCUUUGAUAUUUCUUAAUUAACAUUUAUUAUAUGGAUCUAACUUUACUUCAUUUCGCAAAUGGCAGAGAUAGGUAAAUGUGUGGAUAUGAAAUAUAAAAAUUGUUUUAUGCAUUGUUUAAAUGCUGAUGGCAACGAUUGUUCAUCAUCGUGUCCUGAUUGAUACAAAUACUUGGGAGAUAUGUGCUGGCCCCUAAAUUAUUUGGAUUCAUUAGAGGUUCCAACCAAAAAGUCUAAAAGAUCUCAAAAUUUGCCAGUCAUUAUAGGUACGUGAACCUUAAAGCUCACGUGAUGCUAAAUAGGUAUAUAUCUAAUUUGAAAUUUUAUGUUUUGCUUAAAUAAACCAUGUUUUUCAUGCUAAAUAGGUUGCAGCACUAGUAUUGGGACAAUAGUUGUGCUAAUUGGUACAUGGCAUAUGCACAAACUAAUAGAGAGAAGAAACAACAUCAAGUUGAAGCAGAAAUACUUUAAAAGAAAUGGAGGCUUACUUCUGCAACAACAAUUGUCCAAUAAUAAAAGUAAUUUUGAGAAAAUAAAGUUGUUUGCUUCAAAGGAACUGGAAAAGGCAACAGACUAUUAUAACGAGAAUCGAAUCCUUGGUAGAGGCGGCCAAGGAACUGUGUUUAAAGGGGUGUUAACGGAUGGAAGAAUUGUAGCAAUUAAGAAGUCAAAAAUGACAGAGGACAAGAAACUAGAUGAAAAUGAGCUUAAACAGUUUAUUAAUGAGGUGAUGAUUUUAUCACAGAUUAACCAUAGAAAUGUGGUAAAGCUUUUAGGAUGUUGCCUAGAGACAAAAGUGCCAUUGCUGGUUUAUGAGUUCGUCCCCAAUGGAACACUCUCUCAACUCCUACAUGUGCCAAACGAAGAGUUCCCACUGACAUGGGAAAUGCGUUUACGAAUUGCAAUUGAAAUUGCUAAUGCAUUAUUGUUGAGUUUAGUUCCCAUGCAAAGGUGGCCAUGCAAGACAUGCAAAGGUGGCCAUGCAGAAAAAUGGCAGCAGGCAAUCGAGCCAUGGUGUGCAGUAGCUGAAGCUUCAAGUUACCGAACUACUUGUUGUUUUAGUUGUAUUUUAAUUAUUUUGUAAUCUAGUUCAUAUUGAACUAAGUAGGUGAAUGUUUUGGUGUAAUUUUGAUGUUGAUUGACUGAAAAAUCAGCAAUGCAAUAUGUGCAAGCUAAUCUUGUAAGUUUCAAUGCAUAUUAGUGGUGUUAGGUAAUUGAUUAGGUGAUUACUUAUUUAUUUGACAAGUUGACUGAUAUAUGUAAUGGCUUAAUGCCUUGUUCAAUGGUUAAUGAAGAAUUUCAGCUUGUUUUUCAUUCAAAUUCUCUCUUUCUUUUCUGUUUUUCCACUUGCAAGGUUCUUUUUCUGUUUUCUUUUGAGAUUGUUUCUUCUGCAAGGCUCGAGGCUUGUUGUAUAAGCAAGCUUAAAAUCAGUUUGUUGCUGCCCUUUGCACCAACAAUUGGUAUCUAGAGCUUUUGUCUUAGUGGACCUGUUGUAUUAAACCAAGAAAUCAAAAUGGCUUCUUCAGGUUUUUCGCCAGCAGCCCCACCACUCUUCAACGGAGAAGGCUUCCACAUAUGGCUGGUAAAGAUGAAGACUUACCUGCAGGCCUUUGAUCUGUGGGAAGUUCUCAACACAGAUGCUGAGCCAGCACCACUGAGGGCUAAUCCCACAGUAGCUCAGAUCAGACAACAUGCUGAUGAGAGGACCAAAAGGCACAAAGCCAUGUCCUACAUCCAGAACUGUGUGUCAGAUGUUAUCUUCACCAGAAUUAUGGCCUGUGAGACUCCAAAACAGGCCUGGGAUAAGACUAGGAGAAGUUUCAAGGCACAGAGAGGACAAGGCAACAAUAACUGCUAAACUUGAGAAGAGAUUUUGAGAAUCUGAAGAUGAAGGAAGAAGAAACAGUGAAGCAGUAUGCAGAUAGAAUAAUGGCAGUGGUUAACAGCAUAAGGCUCCUAGGUGAGCACUUUGAUGAGGCAAGAAUUGUGGAGAAAGUCCUCUCCACUUUGCCUGAGAGAUAUGAGGCAAAGAUAUCCUCCUUAGAGGACUCAAGAGACCUAGCUAGCAUCUCCUUAACUGAGUUGAUUAACACUUUCUAUGCUCAGGAACAAAAGAGAGCUAGCAGACUGAAGAUCACCAAGAAGGUGCAUUUCAAGCCAAGGCCAAAGAAACCUCGAGCACCAAUGCUCAUAGAGGCAAAAGGCCUUGGAAAAACAGGCCUAAGCCUGAUGCUGCAAGGAGAAAUGAUCAGCCCUGCAGAUAUUGCAAGAGGUCAGGACAUCCAAAAGAUAGAUGCUGGUUUAGGCCAGAUGCUGUGUGUCAACACUGCAAGAAGAAAGGCCAUGUUGAAAGGGUCUGUAAAAACAGAAACAAGCCAAGGCAGAACCAAUUUCAGCAAUCAAAGGUUGAAGCUCGUGUGGCUGAAGAUAGCAGUGAUCAAGAAGAGUAGGUGUUUGCUGUUUCUUGCUUAGCUACUGAGAAGAAAUGUUCUAAAGGCUGGUUGUUGGACAGUGGUUGCACAAACCACAUGUCACCAGAUGCUUUCUUGUUCAAAACCUUGGAUUGAAACUGCAAAACCAAGGUCAAGGUUGGAAAUGGUCAGUUUAUAAAGGCUGAAGGAAAAGGGGAUGUGUUGGUAUGCACUCCUACAGGCAACAAAGUCAUUCCAAAUGUGCUAUUGGUGCCUGAGAUUGAUAGAAACCUUCUCAGCAUAGCUUAACUGCUCGAGAAAGGCUAUUCAGUUGUGUUUAAAGACAAGCAGUGUCAAAUUGCUGAUCCAAGUGGAUCAAGCCUUAUGACAGUCACAAUGACUGACAAAUGCUUUGAGGUUCAUUGGCCGAAUAACUCAAAGUCAGCAUACACUGCCUCUGUUGAUGAUUCCAAGCUCUGGCAUCAAAGGCUUGGACAUGCCAACUUUAGGUCGAUGGCUCAAAUGGUCAGUGAAGGCUUGGCUGAGAAUUUCACUAACUCAGUGGAGCAUGAUGAAGUCUGUGAAGUGUGUCAGAUGGGAAAGCAGACAAGAUUGCCAUUCCCUACAAACACUCAUGGAGAGCUACAAAAAGACUGCAACUGGUGCACACUGAUGCGUGUGGCCCAAUGAGGACUGAAUCACUCAGCAAAAAUAGGUACUUUGUCCUUUUCAUUGAUGAUUUUACAAGAUAUUACUGGAUUUUCUUCAUGAAACAGAAGUCUAAGGUAGCUCAAGUGUUUAUGAAGUUCAAGACUGCAGCUGAAAUUGAAACAGGUUACAAGUUGAAGCCAGUAAGAUCAGACAAUGGCACUGAGUAUACUUCAGCUUAGUUUCAAGCCAUUUGCAAUGAUGCUGGUAUCAAACACCAGCUAACAAAUAUGUACACACCUUAGCAGAAUGGAGUCUCUGAAAGGAAGAACAGAAGCCUGAUGGAGAAAGAUCUGCCCAAAUCUAUAUGGGCUGAAGCAGUUAACACAGCAGUCUAUCUUCAAAAUAGGCUCCCAACUAAGGCUCUUGCUCACAAGACACCGUUUGAAGCUUGGUUUGGAUUCAAGCCCUCUUUGGCACAUCUAAAGGUGUUUGGUUGUCUAUGCUAUGCACAAAUACCAGCAGUAAAGAGGGAUAAGCUAUCAAAGAGAGCUCAGCCUGGCAUUCUAGUAGGCUAUAGCUCAGUCAAGAAAGGUUACAGGAUCCUGGACCCCUUGACAAGCAAAAUUCAAGUAAGCAGGGAUGUAAUUUUCAAUGAAAAGGCAUGUUGGAAUUGGGAGAAGAAUGCACCAGAAGUUGAUUCAAAAGAAAUGGUGCCUAACCAAGCUGAACUUGAGCAAAUUGGUUCUGAAAUGGACAUUGAUAAUGUGCCUGUAAGAGGCACAAGACCCUUGGAUGAAAUUUAUGAAAGAGCACAGAUUGCUAUAGCAGAACCUACCAGUUUUGAAGAGGUUGAGUCAGAUGAAGGCUGGAAGCAGGCUAUGGUUGAUGAAAUCAACAUGAUUCAGAAGAAUCAAACAUGUGAGCUGGUUGAUAAGCCUGCUGGAAAGAAGGUCAUUGGGGUGAAGUGGGUCUAUCGAGCAAACCAAAAUACAGAUGGCAGUCUUAACAAGCUAAAAGCCAGGCUUGUUGUUAAAGGUUUCAGCCAAAGAUAUGGCCUGGACUACCUGGAGACCUUUGCACCAGUAGCCAGGCUUGACACAGUCAGAAUGAUAGUUGCCUUGGCUGCUCAAAAUCAAUGGACCAUUCAUCAGUUGGAUGUAAAGUCAGCAUUCCUUAAUGACUAUCUGGAAGAAGAAAUCUAUAUCGAGCAGCCUCAAGGAUUUGCAGUCUCUGGCAAAGAACAUAUGGUGUACAGGUUAAAAAAGGCCUUAUAUGGCCUGAAACAGGCCCCUCGAGCCUGGUAUGCUCGAAUUGACUCCAAUCUGAUCAGUUUGGAAUUCGAGAGAAGUGCUAGUGAACCAACAUUAUAUGUCAAGAAAGAUCAAGCUGAAACUCAGCUCAUUUUGUCACUCUAUGUUGAUGAUUUAUUGGUAACUGGAGGAGAUAGAAGAAUGCUGCAAGACUUCAAAAGAAAAAUGAUGGAAAUGUUUGAAAUGUCUGAUCUAGGCAGAAUGAACUACUUCCUUGGAAUGGAAGUGAAGCAGACAGCAAAAGGAAUCUUUCUCAAUCAGAGUUCCUUUACUAUGAAGAUUCUGGACAAGUUCUCUAUGAAGAACUGCAAGCCAACAAACACACCAAUGACUGUUGGAGUGAAGCUAUUGAGGCAAGGGAGCGGUGAACCAGUUUGUGAGACUAUGUACAAGAGUCUCAUUGGUAGUCUGUUGUAUUUGACUGCAACAAGGCCCGAUAUCAUGUUUGCUGUUAGUGUGCUAUCUAGAUUCAUGAAUUACUGUAAUGAUCAGCACUUUCAGGCAGCUAAAAGAGUGCUGAGAUACAUCAAAGGCACCAUUGAUCAUGGUGUGUUGUUCAAAAGGGCUGAAAACACGAAGCUGAUAGGCUAUGUUGAUAGUGACUGGGCUGGAUCAUGUGAUGACAUGAGGAGCACAUCUGGAUAUACAUUUAGCAUUGGCUCAGACAUGUUUUGUUAGAGUUCUAAGAAGCAGAAUUUAGUUGCACAAUCAACAGCAAAAGCUGAAUAUGUUGCUGCUGCAUUUGUUGUGAAUCAAGCCAUAUGGCUUAGAAAAAUCCUAGCUGAUUUAAACCAAAAUCAAGAAAAGGCAACAGAGAUUUACUGUAACAACAAAUCUGCUGUUGCAAUUGCAAAGAAUCCUGUCUUCCAUGGUAGAACAAAGCACUUCAACAUCAAGCUACAUGUCAUAAGGGAGAUGAAGCAAGCUCAUGAAAUCGAGCUAGUUCAUUGCAAUUCAGAAGAGCAAAUUGUUGAUAUCUUUACAAAGGCACUCAAUGUGUCCAAAUUUGUUAAAUUAAGAAGGGAAUUAGGUGUCACUAGCAUGGAAACUAAGGAGGAGUGUUGAGUUUAGUUCCCAUGAAAAGCUGGCCAUGCAAGACAUGCAAAGGUGGCCAUGCAGAAAAAUGGCAGCAGGCAAUCGAGCCAUGGUGUGCAGCAGCUGAAGCUUCAAGUUACCGAACUACUUGUUUUUUUAGUUGUAUUUUAAUUAUUUUGUAAUCUAGUUCAUAUUGAACUAAGUAGGUGAAUGUUUUGGUGUGAUUUUGAUAUUGAUUGACUGAAAAAUUAGCAAUGCAAUAUGCGCAAGCUAAUCUUGUAAGUUUCAAUGCAUAUUAGUGGUGUUAGGUAAUUGAUUAGGUGAUUACUUGUUCAUUUGACAAGUUAACUGAUAUAUGUAAUGGCUUAAUGCCUUGUUCAAUGGUUAAUGAAGAAUUUCAGCUUGUUUUUCAUCCAAAUUCUCUCUUUCUUUUCUGUUUUUCCACUUGCAAGGUUCUUUUUCUGUUUUCUUUUGAGAUUGUUUCUUCUACAAGGCUCGAGGCUUGCUGUAUAAGCAAGCUUAAAAUCAGUUUGCUGCAGCCAUUUGCACCAAAAAUUAUCCUAUUUGCAUUCAACUGCUUCUGUUCCUAUUUAUCAUCGAGACAUCAAAUCUAGCAACAUACUUUUAGAUGAUAAAUAUAGAGCGAAAGUGUCAGAUUUUGGAACUUCAAGAUCAGUUGCACUUGAGCAAACUCAUGUAACCACUCGAGUUCAAGGAACUUUCGGAUACUUAGAUCCUGAAUAUUUUCGAUCAAGCCAAUUUACAGAAAAGAGUGAUGUCUAUAGUUUUGGAGUUGUUCUUAUUGAACUUAUAAUAGGACAAAAACCCGUCUCUUCAUGUCAAUCAGAGGAAGUGGUGAGAAGCUUGGCAAAAUUUUUUCUACACUCAAUGAAGGAGAAUUCCUUACUCAACGUUGUUGAUCCACUGGUAAUGAAUGAUAAUGCAGAAGAAGAAAUUGUAGCAGUUGCUAAGCUAGCAAAAAGAUGCUUGAAUCUGAAUGGAAAGAAAAGACCUACAAUGAAACAAGUUGCAUUGGAGCUAGAGCAGAUUAGAUCAUCAGAAGAAGCUAAUGGCAUGCAACAAAGUGCAGAUGAAGAUUCUGAUACGGAUGCCAUGAUCGAAGCUUCAGGUGUUGAUUCCUUUUCAACGUCUGGUUCAGUUCUAAAAGAUAGUGUAACUUUGCAAUAGAUGCAUAGUUCUAUUUAGUUUCGAACAUUGGUUAAACGUUAUUCCAAUGGUGUGUUUCUCUGUAAUUUCUCCCUGUAUAGUUUAGCUCUUAAAUGCAUAUCUAAGACUUAUCUUUACUAUGGUCUAUGUUUGUAUAUGAUAGUGACUAAAUGCAACUAAGAAUAUUAAUAUUUAUACUUAUUAGAUGAGUGUUGAUGCAGUUGUAUCAGUUUUUGGGUACUUAAUCCAAAUCUCCAUGCUUAUGUUCCAAUAUGUGUUAAAAGUAGAUUUUUAAUAUAUUUUCAUUAAUUUUUAAUCAUCCAAUCUGGUUGUACCACCUAAUGAGAAUGUAUUAAUUGUUGGUGUUGGAACACAUGUAAAUCGGUUGUAUAAUCUUCUGAUCAGUUCUUUCGCAUCAUUUUCUCUUUAUUGUGUGUUUUAAUUGAGUUUUGUUGGAAACAUCCUUAGAUCAAGAAGAUAUCAAGAAGACUUUAUAAUCGGUGGCGAAGUUAGGAGGAGCUCCAUUCCUCUAAAAUUGAAAAUUUUUCAUUUAGGUUAUUUUAUAAUUUAUAAAAAUUUAAAUUUAAAAUGGUAAAAUUAUUGGCCUAAAAAAAUAAUAAAAGUUUUAAUUUAAUCUUUUAAAAAUAAUGAAAUUAUAUUUUUAUUAUUAUAAAAAUAUACAAUUUAAUUCUGACCCCUCAACAAAAAUUUCUAACUCCGCCCAUUACAGCCAAUAUUGAAACUUGUUUCUUGAUUCCAUUUUCCAUUGCAAUUUAUUAUUAUUGAAAUUACUUUGGUUUGCCUUACGUCCGAACUAAAUGUUCUAACUGUUGUUGCAACAAAACAAGGAUUAGGACAAGAAAAUAGAACAAUGCAAUUUUGUAAGGAGAGAAUGAGAUAAGUGAGGAGAUAAAAAAAUCAACUGAUGGUCAAUAAACUAACUAUAAAUAUGACAAAGGCAAGCGCACCUAUCGAAAAAUAGUAUAGUUAUGGUGAGUAGGAAAUAUCGUAUCCACGAGAACUAAAAGUAAUAGUAAUUACCGUCUUCUUAUUAUUUAGCCGACAAAUUGAGGAUUAUUUUUAAUCUAAAAUUAACUGCACUAAUUUACUAAGAAUGCAACAUAGAAUGAAAUAAGAAAAUAAUCGAAAAUAACUAAUGAGAUGGACAAUACCCAAGAAAGAAUCCACCUAGACUUCACCUAUUAUUAUGAAUCUAAAUUAAACGAUUUAUUCAUUUGUGACUUGAACCAUAGAAAUCCCUAAAUUAUGCUAAUAUCUCUUUUGAGAGUAAGAACAACUAACUCUAAGUUGAUUAAUUGAAAUCUCUUUCUAAUUAAAACUCAUAUCGUCUUAUUAACUCGAUCUAUGGAUUCCCUAUUAUAUUUGACUCUAAUUCGGCAGAUUUAUGUCGUCCUAUUUCUAGGAUUGCAUGCAACUCUACUCAAUUAUGCUAAAUCUACUCUUAAACAGGGACUUUUGCUCCACUAAAAUAUGCACAUUAAGCUUGAAUUAAUAUCCCACAAAUAUUAAAACAAGAAAUAAGCAUACAUAAUUGAGAACAAGAAUCAAGUAUUUAUGGCGAAAAUCAGAAAUCAAUUAAUAAGAUUCAUCAUAGGUUUCAUCUUCCCUAGGUAUCUAGGGAAUUUAGUUCAUAAUUCUAAAUAGAAACAUCUCAAAGUUAGGAUAACCACAAGACAUAAAGAAACUCAAUAAAACUUCAAAAGAAAUUAAAAGGAGAUCGUCCAUCUUGAUGGAGAUCCGCUUCCGAGUUGAUUCCGAUGGCGUUCUUCGAGUGUUUUCUUCAAUCUUCUCUAAUGGCUCCCUUAGGUCUUAUUUGUAAGGCGACUAUAUAAACUGUGGUAUGAGUUUUGGUUCUAAUUUUUCAUUAAAUUACAUGAUUUUGAGUUGAACAUCAUUUUGAAAAUUUCGUACUCGAUUUUUAAUUUGGUUUUUGCUAUUAUCUCAAGGUUCAUACACAUUUGAGAAAACAACAUGUUUUUUGCACAACUUAUAAUUUUAAAAUUCUGAGAUACGUUUGACAAAAUGGAUGAAUUUUUUUUUGAAACUGUACGAAAGCAAAACUUUAAAUUGUUUAUUCCUAAAUGUUUUUAACGCCACACAACUACUGUUUUAAACCAUAAACUGUUAAACAAUUCAGUUCAAUUUUAGCAAACUGUGUUCAUAACAGGAUUAAACAUUUUUUUUUUGUAAUUGCUUUUAGAUCACUUCGGUGAUCAAUGUAACCUCAGACAUCCAGUCGAAACUUCUAGGUCGAGUUUUGGUGUGUUACAUUUAGUGGUAUCAGAGCUAGGUUAGCAAAAACUUGACCUGUGUUUUUACGUACCUGUGUGCAUGUGUGUUCGUAAAAAAUAGUUUUGAUAAACCAUACCAUAGUGUUUUGAAAUGAUUUCACUGAUUUUGGGAAAAUAAAAAGUUUGAGACUCCGAUGCUGGUCCAAGUGGAAAUUCGAGAUUGUAAGAUUAGUUCCGUAAGAUUGGAACUGUAGUGUCUAGAUAUUUAUCUUUGUAUUUGGUUUCGAAAUUGUAGAUCUUUUAAAUUAUAAGACCAAUAUGGAUUUGGUGAUAAGCGAGAUCGUGAGGAUCAGCCUGGUGAGACUCUCGAGGAGUUGUCAGCUUCUCUGGGACAUGUCUGUUCCAGAGUCAGAAGCCAAUUCGGUUCCGCCAGUAAUACCCCCUACCCGUAUUCGUCGCCGAAAUAGAGUAUGAGGCAUUACCAGAUUUUACCGAAUAAUUUUUUUAACUCAAUAUAACCCUUUUAUAAAUAUCUAAUCUUCCCUGCAAUUUUAAACCGAGACCAAUCCAACACAACCAAUCCAUUUCAAUAUAUUUUCAAGAUAGAUUUAACGUAUUCAUAAUAUAACCUCAUCACAUACCAAAACCAAGAUUUGUUAGCCAUACCAAUGGCUAACCAUACAUUCAUUUCACAUUAACAUUUACUUUACUAGCUUAUACAUGCCAUUGAUUUCCAAAAUAAAGUUUCUUUAUAUACCAAGAUCUCGAGGUUGAUAGUGUGAUGCGUCUCCGACCAAAUUUGACCUCCGAGCUCUUAACACUACAAAAUAGGGGAAAAUGAAACAGAGUAAGCACUUUGUGCUUAGUAAGCUCAUGUAACAAGAAUUAUACUUACCUAAUAUUUUAAAUACAAUGCAAUAAACAUUCAUACAUCCAUUCAAUACAUUAUUCCCCUAUCAUGCACAAACUCCACAUUCAAGUUAGUUCAAUAAUUUCCAUGUAUCAAUAAUAUAUAUACCAUGAUUGAUGAGCUCAUCAAUUCCAUGUUUUUCAUUCCCUUGUUAUUUUUCCAUAUUUAUCCCGUUGAACUACUUGGCAUUUCAAUGGAUUUCCAGGGGUACACCUAAGUGUACAAGUCCGGGUCCGCCAAUUCAUAUUCACGUGCGCACAUUUCCAUUUCAGAGAGCACACUCCCGCGAACCUCAUCCUUACAGCACGAUUACCAGUCCAGGCUAAAUCCCCUGUAAUAUAAACUAAUAGAGUAUUGUCGGGAUUACCAGUCUAGGCUAAAUCCCCUGCAACGACAAUUACUCUAAUGAGCUUGGAUCUGAAUUACCAGUCCAGGCUAAAGUUAGACCCUAAUUCGGAUUACCCGUCCGGGCUAAAUCCAUUUUCCACAUAUUCUUCGGGAGGGCUAUAUCAGGAUAGGAUCACCCGUCCGAGAUAGAUCCUUUUUACCGUCAAUUCCCUUUUAGAGAUCCAUCGAAUUUUUCCUUCCAUUCAACCGGGAUUUAUUUCUUCUUUUCAUCAAGAAUAUCAAUACUUCAUCAAUUAUCAUACAAUAAACAUACAACUCAUAUUCACAACAAUAACAAACAUUUCAAGCAUUUAAGAAUAUAAUUCAAGUUACACGAACUUACCUCAAUACUUGUUCGUAAACAAAAAUCUACUAAUCCCGAACUUUUUCUUUUCCUCGAUCUAGCUUCAUAUUUGAAUUUUCUGGAUCUAAAUAAUUAAAUUUAAUCAUUAAUCUAAUACAUUUCAUGUUCAUAUGUAACAUUCUCUAAAAUUCCAUUAUUAUUUAUAGUGCAUUCAAAGCUGUCUCACUGAGUCAUAGUCACUAAAUUAUUUAUAUCUUGAGCUACAGAACUCAAAAUUAAGAUCCGUUAAUUUUCCCUGAAACUAUACUCACACAUCUUAUUACCAUAACAUUUUCAGAAUUUUUGGUUUAGCCAAUAAGUGCAUUUUAUUCUUUAAAGUUUCCCCUAUUUCACUAUUUGACAGUUCCAACCCCUCUUCACUAAAAAUUAAUUAUCUCACUGUACAGAAUUCGGAUGAUGUUUCCGUUUGUUUCAUCUGAAAAUAGACUCAUUAAGGAUUCUAACCAUAUAAAUUAUAACUCAUAAUCAUUUUUUUUACAAUUUUUAAUGAUUUUCCAAAGUCAGAACAGGGGAACCCGAAUUCAUUAUGACCUUGUCUCACAAAACCUAUUAUAUCUCAUGAUUUACAGUUCCAUUGAUUACAUCGUUUCUUUUAUGAGAAACUAGACUCAAUAAGCUUUAAUUCAAUAUUUUUUUAAUUCUCUAAUUCAAUUUACACAAUUUAUGGUGAUUUUUAAAAGUUAACCUACUGCAGCUGUCCAAACUAUUUUAGUGCAUGAGGUUAAUUACCAUUUUUCUCUAAGCUUUCAAUAAAUGAUAAUUUCAUCCUUGCUCAAUUAACCUCUCAAUUGAGCUGAUUUUUCUCAAUUAAAACAUUAUUCCAUCACUUUAAACUACUUUAUAACCUUUGGAAAUCAGAAUUUUAGCACUAGACUUUAAUUCCAAACUUUUUCACAAUUAGGUCCUACAAAUCAAUUUCUAUUGAAAUUACCUAAUAAAAUCAUCUCAUAAACAAAUUAAAGCUUCAAUUUCAUUCAUAAAAUCAAAAACUAAUGAAUUUAGUAAUAUGACCUAGUUGUAAAAGUCUUAGAAACACAAAAAUUACAAGAAAAAGGCAAGGAUUAACUCACUUGGUGCAAAAUCAUGAAAAAACAACUUGAAGAAACGCUUAGGACGUUUUUGGCUGAUGAGAAUGCAGAAAAUAUGAAGAGAAUUCUAGAUAUUCCAAUUUGGUCCCAUUUUUAUGUUCGUAAAAUUUGUUAUUUUCCCAUUUUACCCUUAUUUCACUAAUUCUCCUGAUUUUUCUCAGCGUAUGCCGCCCAAAAUAUCUUCUUUUGGGAUUAUUUGCAUAUUAUGUCCCUCCUCAUUUAACAAUUGAGCUAUUUAAUCCUUCUAGUAACUUUUACACCUUUUUCAAUUUAGUCCUUUUUACUUAAUUGACUACCCAAACAUUAAAAUUUUCUAACGAAAUUUUAAUACCAUAUUACUAACACUUCAUAAAUAUUUAUAAAAAUAUUUUUGACUCAGUUUUACGAGAUCGAAGUCUCGAUACCUUAUUUUUACCCAAUUUCUUCAAUAAUUUCUUUUUCUAACUAACCGCUAAAUCAGUAAAAUUUUUCUAUCUAUAUUUUCAUACGAUUUUCCUAUAUUAUCAACAUUCAUGCAAAAAUAUUAAAAUAUAUUUCUCUUUAAAUCGUAUUUGUGGUUACGAAACCACUAUUCCGAUAACUUUGAAUUUGGGCCAUUACACCGCCAGCUUCAGGUAGCGACAACCCGGAGGUUGGUACUGAGGCAUUGACUCGGGUAGUGAGUGAAGUUCUAGAGAAGGUGGUUAAGGCUAGCUGAAAAAGAACCAGAGAAAUGGUUCAAGGUAGGUGUAUAGAUUGUGGGAAGAAAAAAUAUCGUAGUCCUUCGAGGUUGGAGCCUUGGUUUGCAAAGCGUGUGAGGUCAAAGUUGAGCAUUAGCAAAGGUAACGUGGAAGGUUCUAGUGGUGUAAUACCCCGAAAAUUACUACAGUAAGAAAGUAAAAUAUUAUCCCUGAUAUAGUAAAAUAAAGAAAUAAAGUGAUAAAAAGGGUAAUUUUGAGUUUUGUCAACAUUGUUGCCUAAGAGUAAAUACUCAAAAUUUGAGGGGUUAAAGUGUAAAUACAAAAAAUUUGAAGGACCAAUAGUGUAAAUAUUUUAAGGGUGGAAUAAUCUAGAAACUAAGGAAAAUGGACGAGUUAGGACCAAAUUGAAAAGGUGAAGAAUUUUGAGGGACUAAAUUGUAAUUUUACCAAAUUAAGUGAUGACUCAAUGAUGGAAUUUCAAAAUAUUAUAAAGAGAAAAAUGAUCAAUUAGAGAGAGAGAGAAUUCUAGAAGGUAAUGAUGAUGUUUGUGAUAUUUUUAAAUAAUUAAUUAAAUAAAUAUUAUUUUAUUAAGAUUUUAUUAAGAUUUUUAGUAUUAUUUUAUUAUUAAAUGAUUAAUAUAAAAGGGAGGAAAGAUGAUGAGAAAUCAUCAUCUUUUCCAUGCAACCAACAUGAGAAGAGAGGAAAAGAAAGAAAUUUUCCUUUCUUUACAAUUUGGUCCUUUUAUAAAAAAUUCACUAUUUCCACCUAGAAAUCAAAAGAAUUUCCAUAGCUUCUAAGAGAGAAAAAUAAUGAGACAAUAGGGAGCUAGAAUUUCAAGUUAGAUUCAAGAAAUAGAAGCUAGAGGAGAGAGAAAAUCAAGUUAAAGACUGAAAUCAAUAGCACAAGGUAAGAACAUCAAGAUUUCAAUAUACUUCUAAGUUUGAUAUUAUUGAAAAAGCAUGGAAAUGAUGUUAUCGUAGAGUUUUCCUAUAUAAGGUCUUAUGUUCUUGAUAUAUUAGUGAAGGGAAAUAAGUGAAAGUGAUGGGAAAUAUUAUAGAGAAAGGGAAUAAGAGAGUUAUAAACUUAGUAAUCAAUAUCUUGUAUUAAAACAGUUUUGAACAGCAGCAGUAGGUUAACUUUGAAAAAUCACCAUAAAUCGUUGAAAUCAAAUUAGAGGAUGAGAAAAAUAUGGAAUUAAAGCUUAUUGAGUCUAGUUUCUUAUAGAAGAAACAAUUUAAGCAAUGAAAUUGUAAAUCAUUAGAUAUAAUAAAUUUUGUGAGGCAAGGUUAGAGUGAAUUUGGGUUCCCCUGUUCUAACUUUGGAAAAUCAUCAAAAAUUGGAGAAAAAUAAUUAGGGGUUAAAAUUUACAUGCUUAAAAAUCCUAAAUGAGUAUAUUUUUAAUAUAAAUAAAUGUGAAUAUCAUCCAAAUCCCGUACGAUGAGGUAAUUAAGUUUUAGUGAAGACUGGUCGAAACUGUCAGACAGUAAAAUAGGGAAAACUUUAAGGAAUAAACUGUACUAUUUGGCUAAACCAAAAAUUCUGAAAAUUAUGAUAAGAAGAUAUGUGAGUCUAGUUUCAGGAAAAAUUAACAGAUUGUAAUUUGGAGCUCUGUACCUCCGGAUAAAAAUAAUUUAGUGACUCUGACUUGGAUAAACAGCUUUGAAUAUACAUAUGAGUGAAUAGUGAAAUUAUAAUUAAUGUUGUUUAAGUGUGUUAUACACAUUAAGGAUGUGGAAUGGAGUGGAGGAGGAGGAAAAGUAUAUGUAAAUAUUCAGCUAAUAUGAGUUUAUCUUAAAAUAGCUAAUUUACAUGUUAUAGGUUCAGGGACUAAAUUGAAUAAAAGUAAAUUUUUAGGGUAAUUUUGUAAAAAUGUCAAAAAUGACCAAAUUGCAUAAAAUGAAUUGUUUAUUUAUUUAAGUUAAUAAAUUGAAAUGAAAAGUUGAAAAUGAGAUUGAUUAUGAGAAAGAAUGUAUGAAUUAAAUUAUGAAUUGAAUUACUAUAAUAUAUAUAUAUGUGUGUGUGUGUUAGUAUUGAACUGAAUUUAGAAAAUUGAAUUGAAUAAGAAAUAUGUGUUUGUAUUACUGUAAUUCAAAUCUAUUUAUUAUUAAUUGUUAUAUUUUAAUUAAAAUGCAUGGUAAGUAAAAUUAGGUAAGCAAUUGAAAUGAUAAUAUUGAAUUGAAUUGAAUUAAAUUGAAUUGAAUGAAGAAAAUAUGUGAGUAUUUGAAAUGUAUAUUGAUUGAAAAAUAAUUAGUGAUUUGAAUUUGAUUGGAAAAUGAAUUAAAAAUAUGAAUUGAAUAAAAGUGAAUUAAAUUAUGAUUAUGUGUGAAUAUGUGAAUUGUGUAUUGAUUGAAAAGUGGUUUGAAUUGAAUCGAAGUAUGAUUAUAUGUGAAUAUCUGAAAUAUGUAUUGGUAUUAAAUUGUAUAUUGAUUAGAAAGUGGGAAGUGAAUCUGAAUUGAAUUGUGAUUAAAUCGAAAGUGAAUUUGAAAUAGAAAAAUGAUUUGAAUACCCUAUUAACUAAUCGGGCUGAGUCGGAUAUAGUUGGCAUGCCAUAGGAUUGGAAGUGUUCAGGGAUACUUCAACAUUGAGUCGAUGAAACACUGGGUGUCAUACUGUUACUUCGGAUAGAUUCGACGAGGCACUGGGUGCCAACUUACUUCGGCUUGGCCGAUGAGAUACUGGGUGUCAACUAUUGCUUCGAACUAUCCAAUGAGGCACUGGGUGCCAUUCUGGUGUGUUUGGUUGGAUCUGUGUAUCUGUCAAAGUCCGAGUCUGUUAAUAAGGUUAAUUAAUUGAAAAGUUAAAUUGAACGAAAUGAAUCAGUUGAGCCAUAAAAAGAAACGUGAUUGUGAAAUAUAAUUUGAAAAUGUGAAUUGAAUAUGAAAAUGUGAAUAGAAAGCAUGAACUAAAUAUUCAUGAGAUAAAUAAUGGCACAAUGUGAUAGUAUGUGAUAUUAACUAAUGAAAGCCAAAUUGAAUUGUUAUUGGAAAUAUAUUAUCAAAUUUAAUACUCAAUUUAGAUUGAACGCGGGAUUGAGUACAAUCGUUCUGUGGCAAAUAAUGAAUUGACAGAUAAGACCAUAACUGGGUUAUGGCACUAUGAACGUAAGACCAUGGUCGGACCAUGGCAAUGUUUAUAUGUGCAAGACCAUAGUUGGACUAUGACACCUAAGAACGAUGUACUCGUAUCCGUAAGUCGUUCUUCGAUUCAAAAAGAAACGGUAAAAGACUUAUGUGAUUGAAUUGAAAGAUUUAUAGAUUAUUAUUGGUAUUGAUCUGAAAUAAAUGUAACCAUUGAUAUUUAAAUGAUAUAACAGCCAAAUUUCUGAAGUGAGAUAACAUGAGUUUGAAAUGAACUAUUACCGGUAUGUACGCGAAAUUCAUGAAAAUGAUGGUAUAUGAAAUAUCGAAAUAAUGAAAUGAACGAUAUAUGCCAAUGAAGAAACGACAAGAGAAUAAUAUGUAUCAUGACAUGUAAAUGUAUUAUUAUCUUUAAUAUGUUGAUACAAGAAAAAUUAUGUAUGAUGAGUUUAUAUGUAAUGUGUGCAAGUACGUUAACCAGUGUUGUUGCUUGAUGCUUAGGCAAGUGCCAAGCUAUUGGUUGAAUGAUUAUUUAUAUAAUGAUUCUUCUUGCAGUGAUGGCCAUACCAGUAGGGUGAAGUAAAACAACAACCGAAGAACAUCCGUUGUUUCUUGAUUUCUUUGGGACUUAAUGAACAGUUUAUGUGGCCAUGGAAUACGUCCAUAAAUAGCCAAGCGAGAAUGCCAAGUUUCAUGGAAGAAUAGUUCUCUUCUUUUUGACAUUAAGGCACUGAUCAUUCUUUGUAGUAUAUAAGAAAGGAAUCCAUUAAAGCAGGAAAGGGUGUAGCACAUGGUGCUUUUUCUAAGUACAUAAUGUACUGUACACCAUUAUUGACUUAGCCUACAGAGCUUGAAUAAGUAAAAUUAUUAAACUGUUAAAACUUUAUAUAAAGUUAACAUUUGUUUUAUUUUUAAAGUAUUACUUUAAUUGAUUGUUGUGGACAUGCUUCUGAAGGUAGGGAGGGCAUAAACGUGAACAGAAGAGAAAAUGCAUUUACCAAUUUCAACGCAUUUGAGAAAAAGAAGAAGAAAAGAUGAUAUUUGGACCCACAGUUAAUAAAGGCGAAAUAAGAAAAUGAUGUUAAGUAAUCUCUUAGCUGUUAAGCCAAAUAUUAAGUAGUAUUAGACGUAAUUUAUCUUUAAUGUAAGCCCACCACUAAUAGGUAUUUAAUAAUUUAAUGUAGGAGGUGGAACCUUCUGAUCUUUGCUUUUCUUCCACCUUGCUGAUAUUGGAUAUGAUGUCAUAGAGGUGUCUACAUUUUAUCUAAGAGGAAAUCAAUUAUUCUGUUAAAAGUUGAAUCUAUUUUUGCCGUUAAAUAUUAGUCUUAUUGAUGGAACAAUCAGACGAAAACACGUAAUAUAAGCUGAUGUAACACGUUAAAUCAUCAUUUCAAACGAAAUAUACCUGGCCCAACUUUACUUGCUUUUAUAGUUAAUCUGACGUAUCUCAAAUCUAAUUUUAAAAAAUCUUAACAGAUUAUAUUGGAUUAAAAACCAUUGAUUUUGGCCGAUUGAGUUUUAGCUCAGUUGGCAUUAGCAUUGUUCUCAGUAGGAGAAUGUGAGUUUGAGCGUGCUGAAACAUGUUUAUCCUCCUAUUUAAGACAUUGAUUUCGGAUUUUCUUUUGACAUUUUUAGAAAUGAUAAGGUUUAGGAUAAGUUUGGAUAGAUGAUAUGUUUAUAUGCGGUUAGUGUAAAAACAAUGGUAAUAGUGAGAUUAAAUAUUGUAGUGUGAGAUAAAAAAUAAAUUAAACAUACUGAAUCACAUCCCACCGUCGAUCCAAACUGAUCCUUAGACAAUGAAAAUAUCCAUCACUAUGGAAGUUCCUUGUCCCUGGCCCUACUCGAGCGCUAAAAGUCGUUGAAAAUUAAUUAGUAGAAAACUAAGCCUAAAGAUCCAAGAGCCCAGAAAUUUCUUCGAACCUUAAAUUUGUUCAAUUUCAGUCUCCUCCGGCCUAUGUUUAAUGACUUGUGACCCAGCUAAGUCUUCACAAAGAACUGAGGAGAGAAUGGGCAUUCGCAUGGUGUUUUACUUCAUCCUGCAGCUACCACAGCUCAUACAAUCAGCAUCAACGUUCGAAGCAGGUGAGGCUGGUUGUAAAGAAACAUGUGAGAAUGUUUCUAUUCCUUACCCAUUUGGAAUCAAAAGAGGUUGCUAUCAAAAUUCAUGGUUUAGAGUAACUUGCAACAAAACUAUUAAUGGGACAAAGCCUUUCAUCUCUCGCAUCAAUAUGGAGCUCCUUCCUUCAUAUUGGUUAGUCGAAGACAACCGAGUCACCGUCAACAAUCCAGUGACUUAUCUAAAUUGCGAUGAUAAAGGAAACAAUGGCACUACUUCUUCUUCAAGUGUCAACCUACAAGGUAGUCCAUUUUUCUUAAGUGAACAAAAUAUAUUCGGAUCAGUAGGUUGCGGUUAUCUGGCCAUUAUUUUUCGCAACAAUCAAACUGAUCCCAUCGCUGCCUGCCUACAACAAAGAUGUGAGGACCAAAUUUCCUCUAAAUUACCUGGCUGCCUUACUAUGGUUCCUGAAAACCUCACUUCCUAUACAACAGCCCUGAGGCCUAUGACAGAGAUCAUAAGUCCCGGGGAAAAAGAAUCCAGCAAGAGAUGCACAUCUACU